CGUCACUACAAGAGAUAUAUUUUAAUGGGUCUAUGACCUCUGAAUGAUUUCUUCUAAUUAAUUCUAACUCGAUUGAGAAGAACGAUUGACAAGUUACUUUCCCAAGGGCCUGGGAUCCCUAGAUCUAAUGCUCCAGAUGAAAAAGGACACAGAUCUCCAGGAACUGAGUGCUUCCUAUUCCAGGCCUGAAACAGGACCCGCGUUUCAAUCCCUGGCGCCAAGUAAUCUCUUCUUUUGAGAUGCUUUGUGUGGUCAGGAACAGCCAGAUCCUUUCCUUGAGAAACCCUUGCUAAAACCACAUGGCCUGAAGAACUAAGGAGAACUUAGCUAUUCAUAGCAUGGGGACCUGAAGAAAGCAUUCAGUUCAUGGGUCAUCGCUGGACAGGACGGUGGCUUUGGGAACCACAGUCUCCCCAAGUCCGUGGAAGAAAAGGCGCAUCCCUGUGCUGCCGAGAGAGAAAGCUGCAGUUCACUGCAGAGAGCGUUUUCUCUUCUUCACUUCAGUUACACCGCUACCCAGUGUUUCCCUGGCUCCUCCAAUGUCCAACAAGAGGCCCAAACCUUAGAUAUAAACACUGGGCAAGUAGUUGGGGACUAAAAAUAAGUUUCAGAUUCAAAACUCUUGUGCUUCUAUGAUGGCAACUCUUUCUCUGAGUGCGUGGGCGUCGCUGCCGUCCUGGUCGUAGGUUGUUGCCUUUCGUCUCCUGGCAGAGGAGUUUUCUAGGGUAUUUUUCAAACUUUCCAGCUUAGCAAAGCACCCAGCUAAAAUUAAAAGGAGAACUAGGCGUCGGUCGGAGGCAGUGUUGCUCUUGGUGGGGGCAGGGGGGGAAGAGAAGGGAGAUUGCUGACACAGCGAAAAUAAGACAAAACGUUUGAAACUUUAGGCCUGUACUUCUCAAAUGCCUCUUUUAGAAAUCGCUUAAGUCGUUAUUAACAUCCACCACCCACCUUCCCUUUUCGGUCCUGACACAGGGUAAUAAUAGAUAAUGUUGACUUAUGUUCCCCGCUGGUCAGAAAUACUAUACUUCUGUGAAAGUCACUUUCAGCCCUGGGCCCUAGUCUGUGUGGGUGCUGAUCAUUGUGAGGAAACAGAAAUAAACCUGUCCUACUGAGCUGCUGGCUGCCAUUCCUCCAAGCAAAUAAGAGAACUAAUGAAAUCUUAAUCUGACAUCGUGUCCUGAACAAAAGCCACACUUUUCCCAAGGAAAUCCUUUUGAUCUAGAAGUUUUUUCCAGGUAAUAUGAAACGACGCAUCCUAGGCGACCCGCCCACGCGUGUUUAGCUAAGCUUGCUUAGCUUCCUUGGCUCGGUGGUUCUAUAAUCUUCACACUUGGUUGCCUGUGAGUCAGUAUUUACAUCAUGGAAAUCAGAUAUUUUUACCAGCUGUAAUUGAAGAUUGAAAUACUUCAGGGACAGGCAAUGGACACACUACCAAUAGUUAGAAGAUAGUCUCCAGGGCUGCGAUGUAGCCUAGCAUGUGUAAGAUCCUAGGUUUGAUUCUCAGCAUCAUACAUGUGCAUAGCUACCUGCACAUGACUGACCAUUAGAAGUGCUGCCCACGGCUUCUUAAACUGUGAGUCACCAUCCUAUAUCAGAUACCUUUUCAGCAAGUAUAUGAUCACUGGACACAGUGGACAUUUGACCUAUGGAGCAUAUUAUGCAUGCACUUUGACUUCAGGAUUCAGCCAUUGGUUCUACAAAUAUUUUUAUUCACGUCCCAAAUGGCUGUUGGGCCUCAUCCUGGACACAUCACUGAGAAAAAGAAGUUACAUAUUGGUGGAGGAAGAUAGCAAAGCAGAAGAUGAACUCAUUUCCUCAUAUAUUUGGAAGUAAUCAAUGAUACAGAACGUAUAGUAAAAAAUUAGAGUUAGGAUAUGACUUGUACACUUGUUUUCAGAAACAUAAAUUUGAAGGAUAUAAAAAUUUUUGUGUAUGUCCAGGGCAAAUGUUUUCUAGGGUGUCUACUUCUGGGAGUUCAGGCAUAUCUGUCUAACUGGUGUAUUGCAAAAAGACUGUGACUUAGAUUUAAAAACUCUGAGAAAGAUAGGACUGAAGAUAUAGCUCAGUAGUAGAUUUCUUUUUUGCCUAACAGAAACAAGACCAUGACUUCUAUUCCUAACAACAAACAAAACAGAAUAAACUAAGCUGCUCGAGAUCUGAGAUCUUUUACAAGAAACAACAACCUGUCACAGGCCACAUGAGACUCUAAAGGGGGGGUAUACAGGUUGGACUUUGUUUAAAUCUGGUUCUAUUCAGCAACAUUUAAUUACCAUAAGGUAUAUCACAGUGGAGAAGACUCACACUUUGCUCAUAAAACUCAGGACAAAUGGACAGUGUCCUUUAGGGUAGACAGAAAAGUCAUAGUGGCCACUCAAUCCCAAGAGUCCAGGAAGCUCAGCUCUUAGCACCUGGCAUUUUCUACUUGCCACAAGCUUCAAACUACUAAGAAUGUCUUCUGGCUGGCCAUCUUGCUUUAUCGUACUCGUGACUUGUGUGCAUGAAUUAUGAAUUUCCAAUGUGUGUCAGCUAUAAUCACUGUAGCUGAACAGUUGUAAAGAGUAUCUCCUCAUUCAUUUUUUUCUUCACUCUGUCUCAUUCUCUGCAGGACUGAGGAUGUUUGGUCUUUGAUGAAAAGUUCUUGCCUUUUUGGGUAGCCAGUGUGCUGGGACAGAGUCUGAUGGGCAGAAGGGAUUCCUGAAAGGUUUUUGGCUAUGAUGCCAAAUCAUAAACUAUAAAUCCACUAAGUCCUGUUUUCCUAUUGGAUAGGCAGUGAAGUGGUAUUAUUUGCAUCUGCAAUGUAAAGGGAAUUGACACAUGUUGCUUCUUUAAUGAAUGUCUUCUCUCAGCCUCUGCUGUUGCCCCCUUCAACAUCUUACGUCAGCAUGAUAAACAAAACAAAGCAAAACAAAACACAACAACAACAUUUAAAAAAGAGUAGGAUAAUCUUGGAUCUUUAGAGAGUGGUUUCUCACAACACUCUGUGUGUACAUUUUUAAGCCAGUUUAUUUGUUAUUCUGUCUAAAAAGGGAUAUGUAAUCAAGGCUGAGUAAAGAGAGUAAAAGUUUCCUCUAAACAAAGCAUCAGUGGACAAAGGCUUAUUCUAUCACCUGCUAGGGUUUCUGAAACUGUAGUUAGUGGAGAGGAUAUUAAAGCCACAUUUCUGCUUUCAACUUUACACAAAUUAUAAGUGGGACCUUAAGUCACUUAAUGGCUUCGAUGUUAACAUUAGUAUCUUAAGUACGAAGAAUACAUUUUGUUUUGUACGUAGCUUUAUGGUGAUUAUUAACAUUAAAAUGUAUCAUGUUUGUCUGCAGGUGCUAUGGUGAUUAUUAACAUUAAAAUGUAUCACAUUUACAUGCAGGUGCUUUGGCAGCCAAGUCAGGAAAAUUGAACUAUUAUUGUGGUAGGACUUAACCAUCGUGGGUCCUUCUGUUAAUAGUAACAUCGAGGGACAAGUUGACGGUUUUCACAAUAUUACCUUUAGAAACACAGGGGACAUAGUAUCUGAACCAUAAUAAUCAAAAUUUAUAGAAAAAUGAACAGUGUCCUAGAAUAUUUUAGUAGAUGCUAAGUAGCAGCUGUGCGGGAGUCUGCUUGUUCUUCCUACAGUGCUUCUCUUAGCUGUACAGUCCCCAGAGAGAAGCAAGAGAGAUGAUGAGGUGGGUAGCUCACAUUUCCCGGAAUGUUCUUUGCAUGUUCUUCGUCUCAACGUAUGAAUCCCUCAGGUUCUGAUUCUAAUCAGAGUACUGCUGUCUUUCUUUCUUUUUAAAGCUUAAUAGAAACCAGCAAAAAUACUACAUAGUUCAUAGAAAAAGGCCUUGAUUCUUCAUAUGCAACUGACCCUCAAAGCAACUUUCAAUGUUUUUUAUUCUACAUUUGAAGAUAAAAAGUGAAUCUACAGAAACUAUUUGUAUUUGAGCAUGCAGCACGGAAAUGGCAGAUAUAGUUACUGUUUUGUUCUUUGUUAACUUGCUCACCGUUGACUAAUAUAAGUGAUCAUUUUGAAACUAGCUAUAGAUGGUACAAAGAUAUUUCUAGGUCCGCAACUGAAGGCACAUGGACACCAUAGCUGUAUAGCUAUGAAUACCAUAUCUAUCUGAGUUGAAGACAAGUGGAGGUUGCUAAAGUCUGUUCACUGAACAACUGGUUAAAGACACAUCAUUGUUUGAUUAUGACAGUACACUUGGAAUUUCUCUGAGCAAUUAAAUGGUGCUGUGUACAAGUGCUAGGUAUGAGGGCCAGUAUAACUCAGGUGCCAGUUCUUUUUCAAUAUACCAAGACCCAGAGAGAGGGUCUUAGAUCUGAGGCACAUCAUGGGAGUAACACAAGACAUAAAAGGAAGCUGAAUGAUGUAUUAAAACAUGUCCUGUUUCCUAGACAAAUUUAGCUCAAAGUCCUUGAGUCCACAUGCGAUGCUGACUAGCCCAGCUUAGGCACGUCCAGUGAUGUUUUGGACAUUUGCCUAAGUAUUCCCGAGGUCCUCAACUUUUCUAGGUGUCAUUAUCAUGGUAGAUGUGACUCGUCUGGAGUUCUUAGGGUUACAGCGCAUCAGAUUCAUCUAUAGAGUUUCAAAGCACAGGUUCCUUGGUCUUCUCCAGAGUUUCUGUUCAGGCUAGGGCUAACAAACAACACGCUCCAGGUGAUACACAUAGUAGAGGUGCAAUAGGUGCACGAUAUCUUGUGGCCUUCCGGAGCCAGCUUAUCUCCACGUAUCCAUUUUAUGAGUAACCCAGUCUAACUGGGUAUGCCAAUAAUCGUGAAUGAACUGCCCAGUCUCCUCUCUUACCCCAUACAACAAUUAAUGAAUUAGUAGUAUAGGAGAACUUAUUUUAAUAUCAGAGUUUGUAGUGGUCAAGCUAGAGUCUAAGUCAAGAUUUGCCAACCACAAUGCUCUUUGCAAAAUGAUGUUGCUUUUCAUGGAGAAAGAAGAAAAAAUAGAAAUGGUGUUCACAAAAUUCUGAGUGAUUACCAGUUGUAAUACAUGUAUUUCUUACUGUAUUAAUACCGUUGAGCUACCUCUUGAGUUUAGAUUCUAACAUUGGGGCCCAAGGGCGAAUUCUAGUCAGUGAAAAUUACCUUAGACAUUGCUGUAUCACUCAUAUGUAUCCCUAAGGACAUGCCCAUGCCAGGAGAGCCACUUAGAGACAAAGACAAGCUGAAGCAAUGUGAGACUUGUUUCUACUCUUAGUCAGGGAAACACGCUCAUGGAGGGGCACAUCUGGAAGGCUGUCAUUAUUACUGUUUGCUGUGUAUAGAUGGUCUAGUGUAAAUCUAGUUUCAGUUAACAUCAGUUAACAUUUACCCUGUAUACUUAAUAUGAUAGGGCCAUUAUUUGUUUAGUUUUUAGUUCUCAGACUAACUGUCAGAGAGAGGUAUUUCCUCCACCACCCUUGGGGUUCACAGAAAGACCAUGUUGUAGAACUUAGAGCACAGGACUACUAAACUGGAGAAUUGCUUCCCUGAUCCCAGUCGACUUGCGUGCCUGUCAUGAUGUGCAUGGCUUGCAAUCUCUGCACUGGCUAAAUAGUGCCUUGAUGCUGGUGAGGUCACCAGCUUCCUUAACCUCCAGUCUGUCCUCCCACCCCAGCCUCACGCCCACUCUCAUGUCCAUCUCCCAUUUUCCCUCUUUCCUUCAAGGCUCCCUACCGCCCACUUUUCCCCCCUGAGCUCCUGCUUGAGCUCAUCAGCAUCUAGGGAUCAUCUAGAGAAUUUGCAUAAUUAAGUCUGUAAGUAAGAAACAAACUCUUACUGUGGAGAGCAUUUAGGACCACGUGACUGUUUUAGUGUAAACACGAUAAACACAUCUUUGUUAAAGUAAAAAUUAGUUCUUUGGCUUUUAAAGUUGUCAGAGCAACUGUUAAAAGUUUUAAAGCUUGAAGGCUGAGGCUAUGAUUCAGGGAUUGGUCCCUAGCUGUGGAGAGGAGGGAGCUGGAUAAAAAGAGUAUUUGUAAAUAUCCAUUUAAAGAAAGGCUCAAGAUGACUGCUUAGUUCACAGCA